GAUGAAGCUCUUGGAUCACUGCAAAUCAAGGCUUAAAGAUGGAAUCUCGCUCUGUCACCCAAGCUGGAGUGCAGUCGCAUGAUCUCCACUCACCACAAGCUCCUUCUCCUGGGUUCACGCCAUUCUCCUGCCUCAGACUCCUGAGUAGCUGGGACUACAGGCGCCUGCAACCACGCCCGGCAAAUUUUUUGUAUUAUAGUAGAGAUGGGGUUUCACCAUGUUAGCCAGGAUGGUCUCGAUCUCCUGACCUCGUGAUAUGCCCACCUCAGCCUCCCAAAGUGCUGGGAUUAUAGGUUGAGCCACUGGGCCUGGCCCUGUUUGUUCUUUUACAUUAACUUUACAAUGUAUUUGCCAUGUUUUAAAAAUAAAUUUAAUUGGAAUUUUAUUGAAAUUUUAUGAGACAUGAUUUAGUCAAAGAUGAACACACAACAUUAUUAUUACUGUUUCCAUCCAGGUAUGGCAUAUUUCUUUGUUUUCUCUAGUUGUCUUUUAUAUUGCUCAAUAAAAUUUGUGGCUCUGGUACAUUUCAUAAUAAUCAUACAUCAUAUUUCAUUAUUUCUAAUUAUUAUAAUGGAUCGCAUGUACAUUUACUAUGUACCACAUAUUAUGAGAUAAUGAAUAUAUUCAUUAUCUCAAUUCAUAAAACAAUCAUGUGAUUUAGUUGGUGUUAUUACUAGAUUAUUACCAUUGUACAAGUAAAGAAAAUAAAGACAAAAAAAAAAAGAAAACAGACUCAGCAAAAUCAAACCAAUAAAGACUUAAUUAGAAUUUUUGGGCAUAUAUUAAAAAUUUAAUACAACUCAAUGAAAGCAAAAAAAAUUUUAAAAAAUGACCAGGCAGAUUUGAGAAAGAGCCAAACAGAAAUUCCAGAAAUAAAAACAUAAUUGUUGAAAUUGAAGACAGAUUUGACAGCAGAUUACAUAUAAUUGAAAAGGAAAAUGUAAACUGGAAGACAGGCUGAAGAAAUUGCUCAGAAUGAAACCCAAAGAAGUAAAAAAUAAGAAAGAAACAAGAGAAAUGGAAGACAAGAGUGAUAAGAUAUUACAACUAACAGGAUUUCAUAAGUAGAACAAUAAACUGUUAGAAAGGUUUUGUAAAAAAGAUAACGGCUUGGAAUUUUCCCAAAGUGAUGAAAAACUCCACCCUUCAUAUUCAGGAAGCUCAAUUUAAAAGGGAAAAAAAAUCACCUAAAUGUAUCAUCAUAAAAAUAACGGAACCCUGAAGAAAAGAAUAUAUUGAAAACAAGCAGAGAGAAAAUUCACAUUAUCCAUGAAAGAAUAUGGAUUUAGACCAAGAGCUAAUGUCUUAAAAAUGGAAGCAAGAAGACAAUGUACUAAGAAAAAAUAAUCACAUACGAAAUUAAUAUAUGUUUUAAUAAACAGGCCAAAUAUAAGACAAUAUUUAAGUCAUAAAAACCAAACAAAUACUGAAUUUGCUAACUAAAAGACCUUCACUAAAGGAAAUUCUAAGAGAUGUUCUUCAGUAGAAGGGUGUUCCCCUAGAUGGAAGACUUGAGUUGCGAGAAGAAAUGGUGAGUACGUAAGAAGACAAAUAUGUGAGUAAAUAUAAAUGAACACUGACUAUAUAACAUGUAGUUUCCAGUGGAUUAAGAAUAAGAUGAGAAGCAAAACCAUAAAACUUCUAAAGAUAAUACAGUAAGACUACCUUAAUAGCCCCAGUGGGUUUUCAUAUAAAACCUAAACAAAUUCUGUUCACCAAAAAAACACUAUCAGGAUCAAAGACCCAAAUAUAAGGGGUAAAACUAUAAAAUUUGUAGAAGAAAACAUAGGUAUAAAUCUGUGACCGUGAAUUAGUCAAUGGGUCUUAGAUACAACACCAAAUGCAAGAGUGACAAAAGGAAAAAACAAACUGGACUUUAACAAAAUUCAAAACUUUUGUACAUCAAAGGAUACCAUCAGGAAAGUGAAAAGAACCCACAGAAUGAGAGAAAAUAUCUAUUAAGUCAUACAUCUGAUGAGGAACUAAUGUCCAGAAUAUAUAAAGAAUUCUUAGAAUAACAAAAAGACAACCCAAUUAAAUGAGCAAACAGUCUAAAUGAACAUUUCUCUAAAAAGAUAUACAAAUGGCCAAUCAGCACACGAAAGGAUGCUCAACAUCAUUAGUCAUUAAGGAUAUGCAAGUGAAAACUACAACUAGAUACAACUUCACAUCUACAAGGAUGGGUAUAUUUUUUUAAAAAACAAAAAUAACAGAUGUUGGCAAGGAGGUAGGAAAAAAUGGAACCUCCAUACACUGCUGGUAAUAAUAUAAAAUGGUACAGAGACUUUGGAAAACAGUUUUGAAGUUUUUCAAAAAUUUAAACAUAGAUUUACCAUAGGCCCACUCCUAGAUAUAUAAAGAAAAUUGUAAAAAUACGUCCGCACAAAAACGAUUACAUGAAUCUCAUCACAGUACGUUAAUAAUCAUAGUCAAAAAAUGAACAUAACUCAAAUAUCCAUCAACUAAUGAAUGGAUAAACAAAACAUAGUAUACUCAUGCAAUGGGAUUCAGGCAUAUAAAGCAAUGAAGUGCUGACACAAGAUACAACAUGGAUGAAUCAGGACAACAUGCUAAAUAAAUGAAGCCAAACACAAAAGGUCACAUAUGAUUCUGCUUUUUCUGAUAUUUGGCAUAUGCUAGUCCAUAGAGACAGAGAAUAGAUUAGUGGUUGCCAGGGGCUGGGGAAAGGGGGAAAUGGGGAGUAACUGCUAGUAAGUAUGGAGUUUCUUUUUGAAAUGAUAAACAUGUUCUAGAGUUAGAGAGUGGUGAUAGCUGUACAACUGUAUGAAUACAUUAAAAGCACUUAAAGCGCCUGCAGUCCCAGCUACUCGGGAGGCUGUUGCAGGAGAAUCGCUUGAACCUGGGAGGCAGAGGUUGCAGUGAGCCAAGGUCACACCACUGCACUCCAGCCUGGGUGACACAGUGAGACUCCAAUUCCAGAAAAAAAAAUGCACUUAGUGUACACUUAAGAGUGGAUACUAGGCUAAAAGUGAAGUGACAGGCCUCAAACUAGGCAAAUCUUCUAUACACAUAUCUGACAAGGGACUUCAGGAAAUCUUAAAAGUUUCAAUGUUGAAAUAGGAGACUAUAGACAAAAGACUUGAACAAUGCACAUAAGGAACGCAAAUAACCCACAAACAAAUGAAAAUAAGCUCAGCCUUCUUCCAAACCACAGAAGACUAUUUCAUAUUCAACUGAAAAAAAUGAUAUCAAGUAAAGGCAAGAAUGUGCACAAACCAGUACCCACAUAAGCUGCCAGUGGGAAUGUAAAAAGGUGUUACUUCUUAGCAAAUUUGGUAUCAUCUAUUAAAUAGUUCACUGUGCAUAAUCUUGGGCCAAGCACUGCCAUUCCUGGGCACAUGCCAUGGAAAAUCUCUGCAUGUGAACCAAAAACCAGCACCAUUGUAUGGAUUAUAAAAAAAAAUAAAAAAUAGAAUGGACAAACAAAUUUCACUCUCUA
rnacentral:lncRNA from 1 species